rnacentral:rRNA from 1 species
AGUGAACGCUGGCGGUAGGCCUAACACAUGCAAGUCGAACGGCAGCACAGAGGAGCUUGCUCCUUGGGUGACGAGUGGCGGACGGGUGAGGAAUACAUCGGAAUCUACUCUGUCGUGGGGGAUAACGUAGGGAAACUUACGCUAAUACCGCAUACGACCUACGGGUGAAAGCAGGGGAUCUUCGGACCUUGCGCGAUUGAAUGAGCCGAUGUCGGAUUGGCUAGUUGGCGGGGUAAAGGCCCACCAAGGCGACGAUCCGUAGCUGGUCUGAGAGGAUGAUCAGCCACACUGGAACUGAGACACGGUCCAGACUACUACGGGAGGCAGCAGUGGGGAAUAUUGGACAAUGGGCGCAAGCCUGAUCCAGCCAUACCGCGUGGGUGAAGAAGGCCUUCGGGUUGUAAAGCCCUUUUGUUGGGAAAGAAAUCCAUCUGGUUAAUACCCGGGUGGGAUGACGGUACCCAAAGAAUAAGCACCGGCUAACUUCGUGCCAGCCGCCGCGGUAA